CUCGAAUUUCCCGAUACUGCAGGCACUCGAGGCCAUCGACAAGGCUCUUCAGCUGAAGCCCAGGGACCCAAAAGUCGUAUCUGAACUCUUCUUCACAAAAGGAAACCAGCUGAGAGAGCAGAACCUUCUGGACAAAGCUUUUGAGAGCUACGAAGCUGCUGUGACCCUGGAUCCCGACCAGGCACAAGCAUGGAUGAACAUGGGUGGUAUCCGACACAUCCAGGGAAGCUAUGUGUCUGCAAGGGGCUAUUAUGAGAGAGCCCUGAGGCUGGUUCCAGACAGCAAGCUGCUGAAGGAGAAUCUAGCCAAGCUGGAUCGCCUGGAGAGAAGGUUACAAGAAGUCAGAGAAAGGGAUCAAACAUAGACCCAAGGACAAAGUCAGUGGGACUCAGCAGGCUGGAUGAGAACAGAAGGAGGCCUAACACACAGUGGGCCCGCCAGCCAGGCAGUCCCCUCCUGGUGGCACAGUAGUGCUGAAAGAGUUGUUUCCUUGAAGGGACAAACAGCAAAGAGGAGCAAACAGUCUGAAGGGAAGGGAAAUAGCAUGUGUGCUUACAGGCUCCUCCCGUGUCACUCCCAGUCCCCAGGAUACAGAACUCCAUUCUUACUGUAGCCCAGAAACACAGAAGCUUGAAGUUCUGUAGAGGAGACAGCUAUUGGUAAGGAAGGCUGUAUCCUGUGAAGUCAGCCCUUGGGGAAAUCUACUCGUAGAAGUUAGUUAAUUCUCAAGAAUCCAGAGUGGGUGGUGAAGAGCAUUGGUAGAGGCUUUGUGAAGGCUCUGGGGCAGAGCACUUGAUCGGCAGGCUUGGUCUAAUAUCCCCCAAGAGUAUCACUGAGGACCUUUGGAGAAGUACAUUAAAUUCCACUCUGAUAGACGUUUUUUUCCAGUGCCUAAAACACGAGGGGACCGUCUAGAAUCAUACGUGGGUAUCAUUAUCUCUACAGGAGAAAGCUUCCUGAGCAGUUAAAAACAAAAGUUCAGAUUUUGCUUGAUUAGUUAUGGGAAUAUUUUUAAGUGUUUGAAUUGUAUUCCAGACGUUGCUAGAGUUGUGUCUCCACUCUGAAACUUCCCAGUGUGUUAGCCAAAAGAUUGCUGCCACCUUGAAAUAUGCUGCUUGUGUGUGGAGCGGUGGGGUGCAGGGUGCACUCUGCCUGGAAGUGUUAGAGAGCCAGUCCAGAGAGGUGCUCUCCUUUAUUCUCUUAAGGUCAAGACAUCAUGAGAUUUAUUAUUUUUGAAAGAUAUAUUUAAGCAUCAAGGAACCUUUACAUUGUGUUGCAGAAUUCCUCCAGGACUGAGUUGAGGGGAAGAGAGCUCUAUUUAUUGAAUUUUGAGGUUUAGUGGGAAUUGUAUUCUUAAAAGACAAAGUGACUCUCUGCUUGGCAAGUUUUCAGACUCCACAGAGAAUGCUCUGAAACUCUUGGGUAAAAUCUAAAUUCAUAAUUUUUUAAAAAUAUAUUUAUAUUUAAAAAUGAGGAAGGCAAAGCUGAAAUCAUAAUUUGACAUUAUUUUAGUGUUAUUUAUUGUAUAACUUAUAAAAUAUUUAAUAUAUAUAUAUAUCCACAUGUCUGAUUUUUUUUCCUCUGUACAUAGCAGCUGCCAAAACCAAUCAUAUGAAAACUGUAAAACAGGAAAGCUUUAACAAUCUCCCCUGAAUUAUACUGGUUAUUAAUUUCCACUUAUGGAAAGCUAAUGGAAUUAGGGGUCAGCUCAGUGUUUGGGUAUCAGUGAAGGAGCUGGAGCACCUGCUUUUAACUGGGUACUAACCACUGAAAACAGAAACCCUCAGGUAAUGCAGGUCCCGAAGCUGAGCCAGCUGUCACACAACCAUGACAAGGUUGUCUCACCUGUACAGCCAGGCCAGAGGGAGAGCCCUCUGCUUCUUGCAACCCAGCAUUGGGAUGCAGUGCCUCUCUGUGUUAUUUUUUUUUCUGGCAGGUAAGUUGAAAUAAAUGGCUGAAAACUUAUUUGAAAAGGCAUGGUGAAGCCAGGGAGUGGUGGUGCAUACCUUUAAUCCCAGCACUCGGGAGGCAGAGGCAGGCGGAUCUCAGUGAGUUCAAGGCCAGCCUGAUCUCCAGAGUGACUGCCAGGACAGCCAGGGCUACACAGAGAAACCCUGUCUUGACCCCUGCCCCCCUCCCCAAAGGGGGUUUGACUCAGUGCACACCUACGCUUUGGAGCUAGUAUCUGUCACUAUCACCUGAUUAUGUAAUUGUCUGUCAGUGUUACAUAUCAUAAAUUGAUCCGGAAUCUCAAUUUCUUCCAUCUAAGACAUAACAUCUUUAGUACCAAGGUCAAAAGUAUGUACUACAGCGUUUAUUAUAAAGCAGUUCCAAGCCCCCUAAUUUGGAAAGCAGGGGGUACUUGGCAACAUCUUAGUACUACUUUUUAGAAUAGCGUUUGACCAAAAUGGGUGCAUGGAAAACCAAUGGGACAGAUUGAACUGCAGAGUUUGACAUAACUUUCCCUUGUGUAAAGUGCUACAGAAGGUCUCAGUGUAAACUUGUUAGAAUAAUUAAAAAGGCAAUUACAACAUAAACAUUUCUGAGGAGAAAAAGCCACACAUUGUCUAGGAGAUUGCCGCCAUCAGGCCUCUCUCCUUUCUCCUUUGUCUGCCCAUUUUGGCACCUCCCUGAGCAGUAAAAACAAGCACUGCUUAAAAAGAAAAAACGAAAUCUGCUUGCUUUGUUGGCUCGGAUAUUAAAUAAGCCAAUGAGAUAGUUUUCAUAGUAGAAAUGUUGCCUGGGAGAAGAAAAUCAGUUGUGAAGUGUUUCUCAAAGCUGUUGAGUGUGUCUUGUAACAUGCUAUUUGGCCCUGGUGAUGUGGAAUAAUACCUGGGAGUCAUUACAGUAGAAAGAGAGAGCCUGGCUUGUCUUGAAAAUGCAUCUGAUUUGCCAUUGGCAGGCGUGUGCUCCAUGAGUGACUGGAGAGCUGUUUCUGAAACCUAGGAGUGGAGUUGGCUUUGUGCACUCAAGUACUCUGCUGGCAACACUAGCAUUGUCCUUGUCUUCAUCACUGGUACUGAGAAUUGAACCCAGGACCUUGUACAUACCAGGAAGCACUCCCCACUGAGCUCGUGUUUUUGCUUUUUUUUAAAACAAGGGUCCAGCCCUGUGUCUCAGAAUUCUGUAACCCUGGGUUACAGAAUUCUGUAACAUAACCCUGGGUAUGUUACAGGAGGCCACAAAGAGUGAAUCAGGAGUUGAUUUGCCUUGGUUGAUCCUCCAGUAUAGUGGCUCCUGGAGGUCUUUCCUCCCUUACACAUUGAGCCAUUCACAUCUGUGUAACCCCUCCCCCACCGUUCCAUGUCAGGCCUGUCAAUCAUCCCACCUAGACCCAGUCCUUGUCAUGAAAUCCAUCCAGUGGCAGGAUAUUCACUUGCCCUUUGACACAGAAACUAUAGGAAUGGCUUUGUUGGCUUAUUUUUAAUUUAGGGAUUAUUCAGUCAGGAUUUUUCAAAGUGAUUCAAAUGUUUCAGGUUAUUAACCCUUUUAUAAAAUCUGUUUUGGUGGUGUAACUCAGGUGAAUGAACCAAAAAUGCAGAAACCAUAGGGAAAUAAGUACUUUGGGGGUGCUGGGUGCCUUGUUUGGGGUGCUGGGUGUUUGUUUGUGUGGUUCUGGGGCUAGAACUCCAUGCACACCAGGCAAGCUGUCUGUCACUGGCUACCAGUGUCAUCUCAGCCCUGGACUUGUUUAUUUGGAAGGUUAUGACAAAGCAAAGAGGUUUCUGGUCUUUAUCAGUAUGCAGGUUCUCCUCUGAAGUCUGCAGCAGAGUUUUCCACAGGCCUUUUUCAGUUUUCAGGCAAGACUAAAUAAAAAAUUCCACACCACACCGCAGAAGCCCACCUGAGGUGACUGAACCAAGGGAGAAAAGAAAGCAAGUGUCCCAUUUCUUGUUAGCAAAUGGUCUACAUCCUUGUGAUUACAGAGCAGCAUGGACUUGUAGGAGGCCUCCCCUCCUGCACAGGGCCUCUCAGCACUGUCUGCCUUGAGAGAACAGCUAGGAUUCUUCCAAACUCCCUAAGACCCAGCUCUCUGUUGCCAGCAAGGUCCUACAGAGCUGACUACUCUAACGAGGUUUAUGAUUUCUACCAAGGAGCUGUGAAUAAUAUCGUGAAAUUUUUAUUUCUAGCUACUGGGCUAAAAUGAGCCAAAGAAUUCUAAAGGAUGAGUCAUUGCUCUGUGGGUUGGUCAAGGCUAUUAUUCCUAGACUGACUGGCAGGUAGCUGAGUAGGGUGUCUUUAUGCUGUGGCAACUGAACUAUAAUUUGUCCUUCUAUUUAGAAAAUUCUUGGGUGUCAAAUGGAGAGGCACCACCAUUGCCAGUUGCACACACUAGGUUGUGUGAGGUUGCCAAAGAGAAAAAAAUGAACAAAAAACCUGAUGUCUUUUUUUACUCUUAGAAAAUGUCCAUGGCACAGAGAUUGUCUCUUCCUGCCUGGCACACAGACACUAGGGCUUUGUUAUUUAGUUCCUGAUUGUACUCACUAAAACCUGUUUUUGGUGUCCUGAGUGUGGUGGCACACAUCCUUAGUCCUAGCACUUGGGAAGCAGAGGCAGGCAGAUCUCUGAGUUCAAGGCCAGCCUGGUCUACAGAUCAAGUUUCAGGACAGCCAGGGCAAUAUAGAGAGACCUUGUCUCGAAAAACCAAACCAAACAAACAAACAAAACCACCUUUAAAAAAAGAGUCAUAGGCAAAAAUGUCUGCUCUUGUCUGUGGUGGAUCCAUCCAGGGGAAUGAUAAACCUUCAUGAGAUUGGUAAUGACACCGAAAGCAUGAGGCUAUGGUAGAAGUAGGCUGUUUCGUUUUCUUGUUUUCAAAAAUCACACUUUAACUGUACAUAGGCAUCACCCUAAUGCAGCAAAACCCAAGUCUCUAAAUGCCACCAUUUUACAUUGAGCAGCAAAACCCAAGUCUCUAAAUGCCACCGUUUUACAUUGAAAAAGUGUAAUGUCGUUCAAACAUUCCUUUCAGACUGUAGCUGUAUAAGCUAAGACUUUAGAGUACCAAGAACCAAUAUUUGGAAACAUUAUAAUUCUUGCCAUUAUUCUCAGUUUCCAAUGAAAACAUGUUAUAUAGUUAUGAAAACACUUCUAAUGUUUUUGAUUCUGUGAGUUCUUUGUUCCAAGAGAGGAGAUAAAGUAAUCUGAGUACAAAAUGUGGGUUCGUAUUAGAGAGGAACAACAAGAUGGAUAAAAUACCUGGUGCAGUCAAUUGGUUCAUAUUAAAAUAGUCCAUUUUCACCACCAGGGCUCUUUGGGUUAAAGCCAUUGGCAACAACUUUAAAAACAACAAAACAAAUAAACAGCACCUCACAAUACACUGUCCUGGUCCAAGUGUAAAUACAGGUCACCAGGAAAUGCCUGCAAGCAGAGGUCCAGGAUAUCUCCUCCUUGUCAGGGGCAUAUGGUAUGUAUUAGUAGUGAGCCUGGAAGUUCUGGCUGUGCAUACCUUUUGGGGGUUAUUUAGCGGCUAGCCCAUGGUGGAGGCCCACUAGUUCAGGAUUCUUCAUUCUGGGGUCAUUCACUCUAAGGAGUCACCUUACCAGGGCAGGUUAUUCCAUGUCACAGUAAAGUUUGUCACCCAUGAAGCACUCACUGUCCUGUCCAGUGGUUCCCGGGAUACCACGAGCCUCUGAAAUGCACUAAAAAGCACUAUGUAUCUGUGGAGAUAAUGAUUUAAGUCCUGACUGUUCUUGUAACAACCACAACAAGGGAAGACUAGGCUGCCCAAGUGUGUUACUUCACAAUAGUAACUCUUACUUUACAGUUGUGCUUAAAAGCUCUUAUGGUGACCCUGUCACUUUCCUGGGGGAGUAGAUAACAUCUUCUCCUUGGGAACUGAGGUGCUUGUAGAAGACAGUGCUUGUUUUGACAUGUGGAAGUCACUGUGUUUGUGGUCAGGACCUUGGUCUUUCUUCCUGCUACUCAAUGUUCCUGUUUUGGUUGGUUGUAUAUAAAUGUACAUCCGUGUUAUUUUUGCUGUGCUGCUUAAAAUAUUUCUCCGUUUAAGUCUGACUGUAUACUUUGCCUAAGUCUUUCAAAAAUAAAAUUUAUGUAAAUGUCUAUUUUAUAUAAAACAUGCUAAAAAUAA